rnacentral:rRNA from 1 species
GGGAGCCUGAGAAACGGCUACCACAUCCAACGGAAGGCAGCAGGCGCGCAAAUUACCCAAUCCCAAUACGGGGAGGUAGUGACAAUAAAUAACAAUAUGGGGCUCUUACGGGUCUCGUAAUUGGAAUGAGUACAAUUUAAAUCUCUUAACGAGGAACAAUUGGAGGGCAAGUCUGGUGCCAGCAGCCGCGGUAAUUCCAGCUCCAAUAGCGUAUAUUAAAGUUGUUGCAGUUAAAAAGCUCGUAGUUGAAUUUCGGGGUCUGUCCAUUGGUCGGGCUUCACGGUCCGUACUGGUGAGAUGGGUUCCUACCUUCUGAAUAACCAGCAUGCCAUUUAGUUGGUGCGCCGGGGAAGCAGAGCUAUUACCUUGAAAAAAUUAGAGUGCUUAAAGCAGGCUAGUGCUUGAAUAGAUUAGCAUGGAAUAAUAAAAUAGGACGGCAUGGUUCUAUUUUGUUGGUUUCUAGGAUCACCGUAAUGAUUAAUAGGGAUAGUUGGGGGCAUUAGUAUUCAAUUGUCAGAGGUGAAAUUCUUGGAUUUAUUGAAGACUAACUUCUGCGAAAGCAUUUGCCAAGGAUGUUUUCAUUAAUCAAGACGAAAGUUAGGGGAUCGAAGACGAUCAGAUACGUCGUAGUCUAC